AUAUCGCUUCGGUCAAAAUAGGACAAAUCAUGCGAAGGAUAUAACGAGCAAUUUUGUAAAAUAAAUUUGUCAUAAUCUUUUACGGUUGCGAAGGAGAUGCGCUAACAAGGAAAACAGUGUUUGGGGAGAUAACUCCUACAAAGAAAAGUAUUCGUUUACGCAGGGUAAAUUUCAAAAGUGCAUAAACUGUUCGAUAUCAUAUACCAAAUAUCUAAGCGACAUAUUGCGAAACAAAUGUUUAUCGCAAGAACAAAAUUAGGCGGAAGAAAAAAAAAAAAAAAUAAUCAGAAGAAAAACAAUAGGUCUUUCCACAGAAAAGUGGAAAGACCUAAUAAUCAGAAGAAAAACAAUAGGUCUUUCCACAGAAAAGUGGAAAGACCUAAUUAAAAACCAAUUGUUCAGAGAACAAUUGAAUGUCUUUCCACCAGUUAAUAUCUAUUUUGAUAUUAAAAUAUAAAAAAAUCAGUCUAAAAUGUCAGUUCAUAUGGCUUUAUGAUGUAUAGAUAUGAAUUUAAAGCAAAGGUCAAAAUCUAGAACGUCAAAUUAACCUAUGACCUUCACCUCAAUUUCAAGGUCACAAACUGAGGAUUUCAAAUCAAAAGACCCUAGUCUCUAAUAUGUAUGGUUAAUAAGUUAUAUCACUUUAAACAUAAUUUAAGAUAUGAUAGGGGCUAAAACUCCCAUUCAUUGUUUACGCACCCUUUCAACUAAACUUAUUUAGUUACAACAUGUCGCAACUAACAAUUUAUACAAAAUAAUUUGUCGAUAUCUUAUAAGGUUAAUGAAAAUGAGUGAAAAUAAGACAAAUUCAAAAAUUAGAAUAUGACCUUGACCUUUGACCUUGACCUAAUUUUCAUUUUUUUGGACCAAGGACCUUAAAUCAAAAGAUCCUAGGUCUCUAUCACUUAUGGUGUUCCAGUUUAAAAUACAUUUUAAAAUUUCAAAUACAAAAAGGGAAAUAACUCUCGUAUGGAACGUUCAUAUUGCUUCGGUCGAAAUUGGACAAAUCAUGCAAAGGAUAUAACGAGCAAUUUUAUAAAAUAAAUUUGUCGUAAUCUUUUACGGUUGCGAAGGAGUUGUGAGCACAAAGAAAACAGUGUUUGGGGAGAUAACUCCUACAAAGAAAAGUAUUCGGUUACGCAGGGUAAAUUUCAAAAGCGCAUAAACUGUUCGAUAUCAUAUACCAAAUAUCUAAGCGACAUAUUGCGAAACAAAUGUUUAUUGCAAGAACAAAAUUUGGCGGAAGAAAAAAAAAAAAUAAUCAGAAGAAAAACAAUAGGUCUUUCCACAGAAAAGUGGAAAGACCUAAUUAAAAACCAAUUGUUCAGAUAACAAUUGAAGGUCUUUCCACCAGUUAAUAUCUAUUUUGAUAUUAAAAUAUAAAAAUCAGUCUAAAAUGUCAGUUCAUAUGGCUUUAUGAUGUAUAGAUAUGAAUUUAAAGCAAAGGUCAAAAUCUAGAACGUCAAAUUAACCUAUGACCUUCACCUCAAUUUCAAGGUCACAAACUGAGGAUUUCAAAUCAAAAGACCCUUGUCUCUAAUAUGUAUGGUUAAUAAGUUAUAUCACUUUAAACAUAAUUUAAGAUAUGAUAGGGGCUAAAACUCCCAUUCAUUGUUUACACACCCUUUCAACUAAACUUAUUUAGUUACAACAUGUCGCAACUAACAAUUUAUACAAAAUAAUUUGUCGAUAUCUUAUAAGGUUAAUGAAAAUUAGUGAAAAUAAGACAAAUUCAAAAAUAAGAAUAUGACCUUGACCUUUGACCUUGACCUAAUUUUCAUUUUUUUGGACCAAGGACCUCAAAUCAAAAGAUCCUAGGUCUCUAUCACUUAUGGUGUCCAGUUUAAAAUACAUUUUAAAAUUUCAAAUACAAAAAGGGAAAUAACUCUCAUAUGGAGCGUUCAUAUUGCUUCGGUCGAAAUUGGACAAAUCAUGCAAAGGAUAUAACGAGCAAUUUUAUAUAAUAAAUUUGUCGUAAUCUUUUACGGUUGCGAAAGAGUUGUGAGCACAAAGAAAACAGUGUUUGGGGAGAUAACUCCUACAAAGAAAAGUAUUGGGUUACGUAAAUUUCAAAAGCGCAUAAACUGUUCGAUAUCAUAUACCAAAUAUCUAUGCGACAUAUUGCGAAACAAAUGUUUAUCACAAGAACAAAAUUUGGCGGAAGAAAAAAAAAAUAAUCAGAAGAAAAACAAUAGGUCUUUCCACAGAAAAGUGGAAAGACCUAAUUAAAAACUAAUUGUUCAGAGAACAAUUGAAGGUCUUUCCACCAGUUAAUAUCUAUUUUGAUAUUAAAAUAUAAAAAAUCAGUCUAAAAUGUCAGUUCAUAUGGCUUUAUGAUGUAUAAAUAUGAAUUUAAAGCAAAGGUCAAAAUCUAGAACGUCAAAUUAACCUAUGACCUUGACCUCAAUCUCAAGGUCACAAAUUGCGGAUCUCAAAUCAAAAGACCCUAGGUCUCUAAUAUGUAUGGUUAAUAAGUUAUAUCACUUUACACAUAAUUUUAGAUAUGAUAGGGUCAAAAACUGCCAUUCAUUGUCUACGCACCCUUUUAACUAAAAUUAUUAAGUUACGACAUGUCGCAACUAACAAUUUAGUCAAAAUAAUUUGUUGAUAUCUUAUACGGUUUCUGGAAAUGAGUUGAAAUAAGCCUAAUUCAAAAAUUAGAAUAUGACCUUGACCUUUGACCUUGACCUAUUUUUCAUUUUUUUGGACCAAGGACCUCAAAUCAAAAGAUCCUAGGUCUCUAUCACUUAUGGUGUUCCAGUUUAAAAUACAUUUCAAAAUUUCAAAUACAAAAGGGGAAAUAACUCUCAUAUGGAGUCUUCAUAUUGCUUCGGUCCAAACUGGACAAAUCAUGCAAAGGAUAUAACGAGCAAUUUUAUAAAAUAAAUUUGUCGUAAUCUUUUACGGUUGCGAAGGAGUUGUGAUCACAAGGAAAACAGUGUUUGGAGAGAUAACUCCUACAAAGAAAACUAUUCGGCUACGCAAGGUAAAUUUCAAAAGCGCAUAAACUGUUCGAUAUCAUAUACCAAAUAUCUAAGCGACAUAUUGCGAAACAAAUGUUUAUCGCAAGAACAAAAUUUGGCGGAAGAAAAAAAAAAAAAUAAUCAGAAGAAAAACAAUAGGUCUUUCCACAGAAAAGUGGAAAGACCUAAUAAACAAACG
rnacentral:lncRNA from 1 species